rnacentral:tRNA from 1 species
AAAAAGGUAAGCUAAGUAAGCUUUACUGCCACUAGCUACCAGUAUAGAAAACUACCCUUCUCCUUUUUA